CAGCAGCCGCGGGAAUAAGAAGGGGGCUAGCGUUGUUCGGAAUUACUGGGCGUAAAGCGCACGUAGGCGGACAUUUAAGUCAGGGGUGAAAUCCCGGGGCUCAACCCCGGAACUGCCUUUGAUACUGGGUGUCUAGAGUAUGGAAGAGGUGAGUGGAAUUCCGAGUGUAGAGGUGAAAUUCGUAGAUAUUCGGAGGAACACCAGUGGCGAAGGCGGCUCACUGGUCCAUUACUGACGCUGAGGUGCGAAAGCGUGGGGAGCAAACAGGAUUAGAUACCCCCGUAGUCCCUGUCUCUUAUAC
rnacentral:rRNA from 1 species